ACCAAAUUCUGAACCACGAAAAUUGGAUCUGGAUGAUUUUUCUGAUGGAUUAUAUCUUGAUGAAUUUCUAACCCCAAAAUUGACAAUUUCUUGCAGACCACAUCGAGCAUGCACAAAUAUAGAAAUCAAGGAACAUGAGGAAUAUCAUCUUUGUUACUACGGUAAACGUGAAAAACAUGACAAUACAUAUACAUGUAUAUGCGAAGAAGGAUGGAAAGGCGAACAUUGUGACAAAAUAAACCAGGAACACUGUGAAAGAGAAAUUAAACUGGUUUCGUUUUCCAAGGAUUCCUUUUUGUGGCAAGAUACACUUGUGUCAUCAUAUGCGACAGUUUCCUGCCCCCCUGAAUACACAGGACACGCUACAAGAUAUUGCAGAAGUUCAAACAUAACGAAGUAUGGUGGGCAAUGGGAAAAACCAGAUUUAACAAACUGUGUCAGUCGUGAAAUAAAAUUAAUAGCUGAUAAGGUAAAA